AAUGAGCAGAUAUCAGGAGGAACACCGAUGGCGAAGGCAGAUCUCUGGGCCAUUACUGACGCUGAGGAGCGAAAGCAUGGGGAGCGAACAGGAUUAGAUACCCUGGUAGUCCAUGCCGUAAACGUUGGGCGCUAGAUGUGGGCAUCAUUCCACGGUUUCCGUGUCGUAGAUAACGCAUUAAGCGCCCCGCGUGGGGAGUACGGCCGCAAGGCUAAAAAUCAAAGGAAUUGACGGGGGCCCGCACAAGCGGCGGAGCAUGCGGAUUAAUUCGAUGCAACGCGAAGAACCUUACCAAGGCUUGACUAAUACCGGAAACGUUCAGAAAUGUUCGCCCCGCAAGGUCGGUAUACAGGUGGUGCAUGGUUGUCGUCAGCUCGUGUCGUGAGAUGUUGGGUUAAGUCCCGCAACGAGCGCAACCCUCGUCGUAUGUUGCCAGCACGUAAUGGUGGGAACUCAUAUGAGACUGCCGGGGUCAACUCGGAGGAAGGUGGGGAUGACGUCAAAUCAUCAUGCCCCUUAUGUCUUGGGCUUCACGCAUGCUACAAUGGCUGGUACAAUGGGCUGCAAUACCGCGAGGUGGAGCGAAUCCCAAAAAGCCAGUCUCAGUUCGGAUUGGGGUCUGCAACUCGACCCCAUGAAGUUGGAGUCGCUAGUAAUCGCAGAUCAGCAACGCUGCGGUGAAUACGUUCCCGG
rnacentral:rRNA from 1 species